CGGCCGGGGACGGGUGAAACAGGAUGAUCCCGCCGAGACCGCCGGCCGCGCAGGCGCCUGCCAAGACCGCCUCUGUCAAUMAAGGGCGAAGGCCGGGGGCUAGAAGGCGAUCAGACACCACCGUAUUCCCGGCCGUAAACGGUGCCGCCCCGCGGCCGGCGCGCGCGUCCCGCCGGCCGCCCAGGGAAACCGGGAGGCUCCGGGCUCUGGGGGGAGUAUGGCCGCAAGGCUGAAACUUGAAGGCAUUGACGGAGGGGUACCACCAGACGUGGAGUCUGCGGCUCAAUCUGACUCAACGCGCGCACCUCACCAGGCCCGGACGCGCGGAGGACCGACAGCCGGGCGCGCUUUCGCGAUCGCGCGGGCGGUGGUGCAUGGCCGCUCCCAGCCCGUGGCGCGAGCCGUCUGCUCCAUUGCGACAACGAGCGAGACCCCGGCCGCGGGCGCCGCGGGACGGCCCGCGCGAGCGGGAGGACGGCGGGGCGAUAGCAGGUCUGUGAUGCCCUCAGACGCCCUGGGCCGCACGCGCGCUACACUGGCGGGGCCAGCCGGCGCGCGCGAGGACGCGCGGAGCCCCCGCCGUGGCCGGGACCGCGGGCUGGAACGCCCCCGCGCACCAGGAAUGUCUUGUAGGCGCCCGCCCCCACCGCGCGCCGGACGCGUCCCUGCCCCUUGUACACACCGCCCGUCGCUCCUACCGACUGGGCGCGGCGGCGAGCGCCCCGGACGCGCGAAGGGCCGCGAGCCCCCGCGCCUGGAGGAAGGAGAAGUCGUAACAAGGUAUUCCGUAGGUGAACCUGCGGAUGGAUCCCUC
rnacentral:rRNA from 1 species